UACGGAGGGGGCUAGCGUUGUUCGGAAUUACUGGGCGUAAAGCGCACGCAGGCGGAUUUAUAAGUCAGGGGUGAAAUCCCGGGGCUCAACCUCGGAAUUGCCCUUGAUACUGUCUAUCUUGAGUCCGGGAGAGGUGAGUGGAAUUCCUAGUGUAGAGGUGGAAUUCGUAGAUAUUAGGAAGAACACCAGUGGCGAAGGCGGCUCACUGGCCCGGUACUGACGCUCAUGUGCGAAAGCGUGGGGAGCAAACAGG
rnacentral:rRNA from 1 species